rnacentral:rRNA from 1 species
GCGAAUAUAUUAUAUUUUUUGCAGUUUAAAAUUUUUUAGAAAUUGAAUUUCGGGAUCAAUGUUUCGGUCAUGCCGUUGGUAUGUACUGAUAUUAUUGGUUUCUCACCUUCUAAAGAACCGUAAUGCCAUUAAUUUGGUGUCACGGGGAAUUAGGA